rnacentral:rRNA from 1 species
UAGGGAAUCUUCGGCAAUGGACGAAAGUCUGACCGAGCAACGCCGCGUGAGUGAAGAAGGUUUUCGGAUCGUAAAACUCUGUUGUUAGAGAAGAACAAGGACGUUAGUAACUGAACGUCCCCUGACGGUAUCUAACCAGAAAGCCACGGCUAACUACGUGCCAGCAGCCGCGGUAAUACGUAGGUGGCAAGCGUUGUCCGGAUUUAUUGGGCGUAAAGCGAGCGCAGGCGGUUUCUUAAGUCUGAUGUGAAAGCCCCCGGCUCAACCGGGGAGGGUCCUUGGAACCUCUGAGACUUUAGUGCAGUCGCGGAGAGUGUAAUUCCAUGUGUAGCGGUGACAUGCUUAGAUAUAUGGAGGCCCACCAGUGGCGAAGGCGGCUCUCUAGUCUCUAACUGACGCUGAGGCUCGACAGCGUGGGUCGCAAACAUG